AACCUCAUUGGCCGGAAGGGAUCCUUCCGGUCAAUGAGGUAUAACAUCCUCAUUGACGGAAGGAAUCCCUUCUGGUCAAUGAGGUA
rnacentral:miRNA from 1 species